rnacentral:rRNA from 1 species
GAUGAACGCUGGCGGCGUGCCUAAUACAUGCAAGUCGAGCGAACAGAUGAGGAGCUUGCUCCUCUGACGUUAGCGGCGGACGGGUGAGUAACACGUGGAUAACCUACCUAUAAGACUGGGAUAACUUCGGGAAACCGGAGCUAAUACCGGAUAAUAUAUUGAACCGCAUGGUUCAAUAGUGAAAGACGGUUUUGCUGUCACUUAUAGAUGGAUCCGCGCCGCAUUAGCUAGUUGGUAAGGUAACGGCUUACCAAGGCAACGAUGCGUAGCCGACCUGAGAGGGUGAUCGGCCACACUGGAACUGAGACACGGUCCAGACUCCCAAGGGAGGCAGCCGUAGGGAAUCUUCCGCCAUGGGCGAAAGCCUGACGGAGCAAAGCCGCGUGAGUGAUGAAGGUCUUCGGAUCGUAAAACUCUGUUAUUAGGGAAGAACAAAUGUGUAAGUAACUAUGCACGUCUUGACGGUACCUAAUCAGAAAGCCACGGCUAACUACGUG